rnacentral:rRNA from 1 species
GUCUUAUUGAUAUUAAUUUUAAGUCUAACCUGCCCCCUGAAAUUUUAAAUGGCCGCGGUAUUUUGACCGUGCUAAGGUAGCAUAAUUAUUAGUUUCUUAAUUAGAAGCUUGAAUGAAUGGUUGGAUGAGAAAAUAACUGUCUCUAUUUAAGUUUAUUAAAAUUUUAUUUUUUAGUAAAAAAGCUAAAAUUAUUUUAAAAGACGAGAAGACCCUAUAGAGUUUAAUAUAAAUAAUAAUAUUAAUAUUUAUUAGAAUAAAAAUUUUUAAUUUAAAAUAUAUUUAAUUGGGGUGAUUGAAAAAUUUAAUAAACUUUUUUUUAUAGAGAACAUUGAUUUAUGAAUAUUUGAUCCAUAAUUUUUGAUUAUAAGAAUAAAUUACCUUAGGGAUAACAGCGUAAUAUUUUCAG